CCUACGGGAGGCUGCAGUGAGGAAUAUUGGUCAAUGGACGAGAGUCUGAACCAGCCAAGUAGCGUGAAGGAUGACUGCCCUAUGGGUUGUAAACUUCUUUUAUAUGGGAAUAAAACGUUCCACGUGUGGGAUUUUGUAUGUACCAUAUGAAUAAGGAUCGGCUAACUCCGUGCCAGCAGCCGCGGUAAUACGGAGGAUCCGAGCGUUAUCCGGAUUUAUUGGGUUUAAAGGGAGCGUAGGUGGAUUGUUAAGUCAGGUGUGAAAGUUUGCGGCUCAACCGUAAAAUUGCAGUUGAAACUGGCAGUCUUGAGUACAGUAGAGGUGGGCGGAAUGCGUGGUGUAGCGGUGAAAUGCUUAGAUAUCACGAAGAACUCCGAUUGCGAAGGCAGUUCACUGGACUGCAACUGACACUGAGGCUCGAAAGUGUGGGUAUCAAACAGGAUUAGAUACCCUUGUAGUC
rnacentral:rRNA from 1 species